CCAGGAAGUAGGUGGGACUUUCAUAGUGUAUUACAACAACAAAGAAGUUACUUCAAACAACGAUCACUGUUUUUUUUUCUCUCUGACAUCAUUGCACAUAAUGGCAUGCGCGAUAGAACAGAAGAGUAUGAACAAAACGUUUUUAUUUUUUUUACCAUGAUGCUGGAUUCUCCUCUGUUUCUUCAACAAAAACCAAACAAAAAAGAAUGCAACGGAGUGAACAGUGGCACUGUUUCACCGUGGGGGGAAUUCAGACCCAGGAUACAGACACGGCAAUGGCCAGCCCCAGCAUCGUAUUCACCACAGCAUCAUACGGAUGUGAUAGCCAUGGAGGUAUGUAAUGUUACAUUCACUUAGCCUAGAUGAGACUUUGCCUAUCUGUUCUUUCUUGCACAGUAUUUACUUAAUGUCAAUGUAACAUUAUUGUUUCAAACAGUGUCACUUCCUGACACUUGUAAGAGGUCAUUUGCCAUAGUAGAGUGGUCAGGGCGUGGCAAGGGGGUUUGUUUUGUAGGUAUUUGGGGUUUUCUGUUUCUAUGUGGGUUUAUUCUUAGUUAUCAUUUUCUAUGUGUUGGUUUUCAUGUUCGGCCGGGUAUGGUUUCCAAUCAGAGGCAGGUGUCUUUCGUUGUCUCUGAUUGGAAGCCAUACUUAGGCAGCCUGUUUUUCCUUUGGGGUUGUGGGUAGUUGUUUUCCGUUUUUGUCUGAGUACCUUACGGAACUGUUGGCUGUCGUUCUGUUAUUUUGUUUAAGUGUUCUCGUGAAAUAAAGUAAGAAUAAGCACUCUACACGCUGCGCCUUGGUCUCCUCUAUACAUUUACAUUUACAUUUCUCAUUUAGCAGACGCUCUUAUCCAGAGCGACUUACAGUAGUGAAUGCAUACAUUUCAUUUCAUGCAUUUUUUGUAUUUUUAUAAAAAGCUUUCAAAUGAAACAAGCAAUUUUACACACGGUAAAAAGUAGUUAUCUUGACAAUACUGCGUUCCAAAAGAGUAGCAGAUUUUAACAUUAAACAUGUUUGGCUUUACCUUAGGCAUCCCUCUCAAGCCCUGUACACUGAGAAGGGACAAUAGCAGAUAAGGUCAGCUCUAGCAGAGAUACAGUGAGCUCAAAGUAUUGGGACAGUGUGUUUUGUUUUGGCUAUGUACUCCAGCACCUUCGAUGCAGACGGUCAGCUUUAAUUUGAAGGUAUUUUCAUCCAUAUGAGCCGUUUAGAAAUGAAAGUACUUUUUGUACAUGGACUCUUUCUCCCCCCCCAUUUUAGGGGCCCAAAAGUAUUGUGACAAGUUCACUUGUGUGUAUCAAAGUUAUCAAAAGUUUAUUUGGUCCCAUAUUCUUAGCACACAAUGAUUACAUCAAGCAUUGGAUUCAUUUGCUGUUUUGUUUGUGUUUCAGAUUAUUUUGUGCCCAAUUUGUGUUAGGAAUAUCGGACCAAAUACAUUGGUGAAUUUGUUCCAAUACUUUUAGUUCCCCCAUUUUAGGGGACCAUGUACAAAAAGUCAGUCGUUUCAAAUUCAAAGUGCUGGAGUACAGAGCCAAAACAAAUGGACACUGUCCCAAUACUUUUGGAGCUCACCGUAUUUCUAAACUAUUUCUAUACGACGCCUGUGACAAACAGGGCCAUGAGUGAGACAUUACUACGGGGCAACGAUGCCAAGUUUGGGCCGCAGACAUGAAGGUAAGAACAUAACUGAAAUGUAAAUACUUAUCGGACAUAUCUGCCAUCUGUCUUUACAGACUGUCACAAUAAAUGUAUAUAAAAUAUAGGGGUAGUGGAGGGAAAUAUGUUAACAUAUUGUGUCAUUUCUAAUACCUCUCUUACAUUUUGUAGCUUAGGUUUCUGGCUGUAAUGGGUGCCUUGCAUUCUGUCAAACCGUCUUGCCAUCGCAACAACCUGGACUGGGGCAGGGCAUAAGGCCUUUUUCAGGGACUUGUUUCUGAAGACCAAUCUUCGUUUUGUUACAAAGUAAAUUCUUAAACUCAUGUGCGAUUCAAAUGUAACUCAAUGUUCUUUCUUUGUGUAUAGGAGCCAUUCGGAAGAACCCUGCAACCCGGGAUGCCACAGAUGAGGGGGUCCAGAUUCAGGUCCCCCGUUACCUGAAAGGGGCCUCCAAUUUUGAAGGCGGGAGGAGGCAGCGCACAUGGGAGAGGGAUCCGCUGAAAUGAGGGUCAACAUAAAGUCUCGGACCACUUGUCUCAAAGCUAGCCUCGACACCCAAGCCACAAGACUGUUCCAACAGCUGAACUCUGGGCUGACUACUGCACCCUAUCAUACACUUAACAUUUAUUCAUAUUCUGUACACACCAAGGUGACUCAGCUCCCCUGAAUGAGAAGUUAGCUCUCCUAAAUGCAACAAAAGCCCAACUUUGGGCACUGAUAUUGGGCAAUUAGGCCUGGCUCGUGGUCGGUGUUCCUACUCAUUCCAAAGGUGUUCGAUGGGGUUGAGGUCAUUGCUCUGUGCAAGCUAGUCAAGAUAUUCCACAACGAUCUCGUCAAACCAUUUCUGUAUGGACCUCGCAUUGUGCACAGGGACAUUGCCAUGCUGAAACAGGAGAAGGCCUUCCCCAAACUGUUGCCACAAAGUUGGAAGCACAGAAUUGUCUAGAAUGUCAUUGUAUGCUGUAGCAUUAAGAUUUCCCUUCACUGGAACUAAGGGGCCUAGCCCGAACCAUGAAAAACAGCCCCAGACCAUUAUUGCUCCUCCACCAAACUUUACAGUUGUCACUAUGCAUUGGGGCAGGUAGCAUUCUCCUGGCAUCCGCCAAACCCAGAUUCGUCCGUUGGACUUCCAGAUGGUAAAGCCUGAUUCAUCCCUCCAGUGAUUGCGUUUCUGCUGCUCCAGAGUCCAAUGGUGAUCUUAGGCUGCUCGGCCAUGGAAACUAAUUUCAUGAAGCUCCCGAGGAACAGUUCUUGUGCUGACGUUGCUUCCAGAGGCAAUUUGGAAUUCGGUAGUGAGUGUUGCAACCGAGGACAGACGAUUUUUACGCUCUACGUGCUUCAGCACUCGGCGCUCCCGUUCUGUGAGAUUGUGUGGCCUACCACUUCAAGCCUGAGCCGUUGCUGCUCCUAGACAUUUCCACUUCACAAUAACAGCACUUACAGUUGACUGGGGCCGCUCUAGCAGGGCAGUAAUUUGACACACUGACUUGUUGGAAAGGUGUCAUCCUAUGACGGUGCCACGUUGAAAGUCACUGAGCUCUUCAGUAAGGCCAUUCAACUACCAAUGUUUGUCUAUGGAGAUUUUAUGGCUGUGUGCUUGAUUUUAUACACCCGUCAGCAAUGGAUGUGGCUGACAUAGGCAUAGGUCUAUAUGGAAUAGGCCUACAUUAUUUUGGAUUUGUGUGCACAUGCGAACUGUUUUCAGGGCAAAACAUAAUGAAAUGUUACGUAGGCAUAGCUAGACUUACAGUGCAAUUUCUGAGGUCAGGGUUUAAGUUCAAUGUUCUAAUUCAAUAAAUGCUUAAUAAUGACAAAUAACACUGUCAUAAAUGUCACUAAUGUAAGUAAAGAAAGGUUGUAUUUUAUGUCAUAUUAUCUGUGAAGACUACAAACAUUAACUCGUGUUUAUGGACAACUCAUGAACUUGGGUGUAAAGAAUGUUUUGAUUAAACUCAUGUAUUAUAUUAAAUGUA